rnacentral:rRNA from 1 species
UACGAAGGGGGCUAGCGUUGUUCGGAAUUACUGGGCGUAAAGCGCACGUAGGCGGAUUUGUAAGUCAGGGGUGAAAUCCCGGGGCUCAACCUCGGAACUGCCUUUGAUACUGCAAGUCUUGAGUCCGGAAGAGGUGGAGUGGAAUUCCUAGUGUAGAGGUGAAAUUCGUAGAUAUUAGGAAGAACACCAAGUGGCCGAAGGCGGCUCACGUGGUCCGGUACUGACGCUGAGGUGGC